GAAUAGCUCCGAUUGCAGUGGAAAUCCUCCCGAUUUUUUUUUCGGGAGCUUGCAACGGAAAGCGGGAGUAGAG
rnacentral:sRNA from 1 species